UGCCCCUUGGCCAAGUUGGUAAGGCUCAGGUUUUUGGUACCUGCAUGCGCUGGUUCGAGUCCAGCAGGGGCAA
rnacentral:tRNA from 1 species